GACGAACGCUGGCGGCGUGCUUAACACAUGCAAGUCGAACGGAAAGGCCCUGCUUUUGUGGGGUGCUCGAGUGGCGAACGGGUGAGUAACACGUGAGUAACCUGCCCUUGACUUUGGGAUAACUUCAGGAAACUGGGGCUAAUACCGGAUAGGAGCUCCUGCUGCAUGGUGGGGGUUGGAAAGUUUCGGCGGUUGGGGAUUGACUCGCGGCUUAUCAGCUUGUUGGUGGGGUAGUGGCUUACCAAGGCUUUGACGGGUAGCCGGCCUGAGAGGGUGACCGGCCACAUUGGGACUGAGAUACGGCCCAGACUCCUACGGGAGGCAGCAGUGGGGAAUAUUGCACAAUGGGCGGAAGCCUGAUGCAGCAACGCCGCGUGCGGGAUGACGGCCUUCGGGUUGUAAACCGCUUGCGCCUGUGACGAAGCGUGAGUGACGGUAAUGGGUAAAGAAGCACCGGCUAACUACGUG
rnacentral:rRNA from 1 species